rfam:Felis catus isolate Cinnamon breed Abyssinian chromosome B4, whole genome shotgun sequence.
GCCUGGGUGGCUCAGUCGGUUGGGUGUCUGACUUCAGCUCAGGUCAUGAUCUCAUAGCUUGUGAGUUCGAACCCGCGUCAGGCU